rnacentral:lncRNA from 1 species
AGAACUCAGCCACUAGGUACUUGAUACUCUGUUGCUGCUCAGUACCUGCUUCACUGGGUGCUCAACUUCACACAUCAGAGACAAAGAAGUUUCUGGAAUUCCAAGGACAUUCAGGCUCUGAGAGAAUGGUCAUUUCUUUCUCAGUAAAGAUGCCUCUUUGAGUCUUUGUGGAUACUUAUCAACUUCAUCAAAGGUCAUUUUGUAAAUACACAGUUUAAUUUACACAAAUUUUACUACCUGGAAGAACAAUUUUCCCAAAUUGCCUUCACUUCUGUGUUUCAAACCCUCAUUUAGGAAUUUCCAGGAAAGUCUCCAUACCAUUGGUCAACUAGGCACUAACUUCUCUGUGAUGGGCGUCAAUCACUGUUAUAUUACAUAUCUAACACAGGAGUGCUGGACUUGUAAUAAGGAAGAGUUUUAGCUCCACUUAUUCUGUAAAGGAAUAUAAAUAAGAAGUGAUGAUAUAUUUAGGGAUCUAGCAUCCAGAUUAGAGAGAGUUAGUUGAUUGGUUACCUAGGUAACAAGUGAUUUCCAAAAGGAAAAGUACUGACCUGAUGGUGUGUAUGUGACCAAAGGUUAAGUUACCAACCAUAACUGUCUGCAGCCUACAUCUCAGAUUUUCCAGUCUUCCCUGAUCUUUGAGCCCUAGGGGUUAGUCAUAAUAGGAAGGACAAGGCUUUCAAAUUAACCCAAUCCAUCAAAGACAAAUAAAAAA